rnacentral:rRNA from 1 species
AAACUGAAGAGUUUGAUCCUGGCUCAGAUUGAACGCUGGCGGUAUGCUUAACACAUGCAAGUCGAACGGCAGCACGAGGAGUUUACUCUUUGGUGGCGAGUGGCGGACGGGUGAGUAAUGCAUAGGAAUCUACCUUUUAGUCUAGGAUAACUACCCGAAAGGGUAGCUAAUACUGGAUGUGGACUACGGUUUAAAGCAGGGGAUCUUCGGACCUUGCGCUAAGAGAUGAGCCUAUGUGGGAUUAGCUAGUUGGUGAGGUAAUGGCUCACCAAGGCGACGAUCUCUAGCUGGUUUGAGAGGAUGAUCAGCCACACUGGGACUGAGACACGGCCCAGACUCCUACGGGAGGCAGCAGUGGGGAAUAUUGGACAAUGGGCGCAAGCCUGAUCCAGCAAUACCGCGUGUGUGAAGAAGGCCCUAGGGUUGUAAAGCACUUUUGUUAGGGAGAAUGGGUUUAGUAGUUAAUACCUACUGAAUCUGAUGUUACCUAAAGAAUAAGCACCGGCUAACUCCGUGCCAGCAGCCGCGGUAAUACGGA